rnacentral:sRNA from 1 species
UGCUAGUGGUGGCCGCACACACGGCUAG